rnacentral:rRNA from 1 species
UACGUAGGGUGCAAGCGUUGUCCGGAAUUAUUGGGCGUAAAGAGCUCGUAGGCGGUUUGUCGCGUCUGCUGUGAAAAUCCAGGGCUUAACCCUGGACCUGCAGUGGGUACGGGCAGACUAGAGUGCGGUAGGGGAGAUCGGAAUUCCUGGUGUAGCGGUGAAAUGCGCAGAUAUCAGGAGGAACACCGGUGGCGAAGGCGGCUUGCUGGGCCAGUUCUGACGCUGAGGAGCGAAAGCGUGGGGAGCGAACAGG